rnacentral:lncRNA from 12 species
UAUCUCCUUGUGUGUGGGGAAAGUGAGGUAGUGAGAGGUCAGAGUAAUAGAGGGCUCUGUGCUGCUGGAUGAGUUAAUUUGGGAUGCUCGGCACUUCCCGUGGCUGGAAUUGAAAAGCUGUCGGCAGCAGAGCAGCAUCACCC